GUCCAGACUCCUACGGGAGGCAGCAGUAGGGAAUUUUGCGCAAUGGGCGAAAGCCUGACGCAGCAACGCCGCGUGAUCGAGACGCCCUUCGGGGUGUAAAGAUCUGUCAGUGGGGACGAAACUUGACGGUACCCACAGAGGAAGCACCGGCUAACUCCGUGCCAGCAGCCGCGGUAAUACGGAGGAUGCGAGCGUUAUCCGGAUUUAUUGGGUUUAAAGGGUGCGGAGGCGGUCUGUUAAGUCAGCGGUCAGCCCCCGGGCCCCCCCCCCGGCCCGCCGUUGAAACUGGCAGUCUCGAGUUGGAGAGAAGUAUGCGGAAUGCGCGGUGUAGCGGUGAAAUGCAUAGAUAUCGCGCAGAACUCCGAUUGCGAAGGCAGCAUGCCGGCUCCACACUGACGCUGAGGCACGAAAGCGUGGGUAUCGAACAGGAUUAGAUACCCCAGUAAG
rnacentral:rRNA from 1 species